rnacentral:miRNA from 1 species
CUUGCAGCAGUCUCUAAAUUGCUUGGUGGAGUUCGGGAGUUCCUAUGUCUGGCAAAAGUGAUGCUCCCAUUUGUGCCAAAUGAUUCAGAGUCUGACGUUAAA